UAACUUGUAAUGUUCCACUUUGGGGA
rnacentral:piRNA from 1 species